GGAAGGUCUGACAACAGGGACGUGGGGUGAAGAGGCAUAUGGGGUGAGGGACUCAAGUGCAGAAUACAGAAAUACAAAGGGGCAUAUGGGGAUUGGCAAACACAAUGCAACAAUACACUAGCACUCCAAAGACCUACAUUCACACACUGGCAGUCCACUCAAAUGCACACACACAUUCACACAAACAGUGACACAAGGUUAAC